UCGGAUGUGAAAAUCUGGGGCUCAACCCCAGACCUGCAUUCGAUACGGGCGAGCUAGAGUGUGGUAGGGGAGACUGGAAUUCCUGGUGUAGCGGUGGAAUGCGCAGAUAUCAGGAGGAACACCAAUGGCGAAGGCAGGUCUCUGGGCCAUUACUGACACUGAGGAGCGAAAGCGUGGGGAGCGAACAGGAUUAGAUACCCUGGUAGUCCACGCCGUAAACGGUGGGCACUAGUUGUGGGAACCUUCCACGGUUUCUGCGACGCAGCUAACGCAUUAAGUGCCCCGCCUGGGGAGUACGAUCGCAAGAUUAAAACUCAAAGGAAUUGACGGGGCCCCGCACAAGCAGCGGAGCAUGCGGCUUAAUUCGACGCAACGCGAAGAACCUUACCAAGGCUUGACAUAUACAGGAAUAUGGCAGAAAUGUCAUAGCCGCAAGGUCUGUAUACAGGUGGUGCAUGGUUGUCGUCAGCUCGUGUCGUGAGAUGUUGGGUUAAGUCCCGCAACGAGCGCAACCCUCGUUCUGUGUUGCCAGCAUUUAGUUGGGGACUCACAGGAGACUGCCGGGGGUUAACUCGGAGGAAGGUGGGGAUGACGUCAAAUCAUCAUGCCCCUUAUGUCUUGGGGCUGCACGCAUGCUACAAUGGCUGGUACA
rnacentral:rRNA from 1 species